UAAGGGUGAAGGUUAGGAUUCAACCACAUUGCAGGUUAUGUGUUGCAUCUAGGUAACAUUGAUGUCCCGCAAAUCCAAUAAACAAAUAUUAUGCUGUGCACUCUCAAAGACCUUUAGCAAAUUCCAUGUGUGUUUUCUUCUUACGUAAUAUUUGGCGUCUAUUGGUUUUCUGUUUUUUUUUGAGUACUCCAUUUCUUUGGAGUACAGUAAGGGGAAUACCUUCUACCAGUCUCAUCUCAGAUCCACAGAGGGAAGUGGCGGUGAUAGGAUGAUGGUGAUCCACAGAGGGAAGUGGCGGUGAUAGGAUGAUGGUGAUCCACAGAGGGAAGUGGAGGUGAUAGGAUGAUGGUGAUUCACACAGGGAAGUGGCAGUGAUAGGAUGAUGGUGAUCCACACAGGAAAUGGUGGUGGUAGGAUGAUGGUGGUCGGAUUGUGGUGGUGGUACCACCAACGACAAUGACAGUAUUUUGUUGUUGUUGGUGGUAUGAUGACAGGUGUGGUGGGAUGAUGACGUUUGUGGGAUGAUGAUGCUGGUGGUAGAGGUCAGAUGAUGGUGGUGGUAUUAGUGGUUAUAGUGGUGGUGGGUUGAUGAUGAAGGAGGUCAGAUAAUGGUGGGAUGUGGGUGGUGGUGGUAGAUGUCAGGUGAUGGUGGAUUGAUGGUGGUGGUAGAGGUCAGGUGAUAGUGGGAUGAUGGUGGUGGUAGAGGUCAGGUGAUAGUGGGAUGAUGGUGGUGGUAGAGGUCAGGUUAUAGUGGGUUGAUGGUGGUGGUAGAGGUCAGGUGAUAGUGGGUUGAUGGUGGUGGUAGAGGUCAGGUGAUAGUGGGAUGAUGGUGGUGGUAGAGGUCAGGUGAUAGUGGGAUGAUGGUUGUGGUAGAGGUCAGGUGAUAGUGGGAUGAUGGUGGUGGUAGAGGUCAAAUAAUGGUGGGAUGAUGGUGGUGGUAGAGGUCAGAUAAUGGUGGGAUGAUGGUGGUGGUAGAGGUCAGGUGAUAGUGGGAUGAUGGUGGUGGUAGAGGUCAGGUGAUAGUGGUAUGAUGGCGGUGGUAGAGGUCAGGUGAUAGUGGGUUGAUGGUGGUGGUAGAGGUCAGGUGAUAGUGGGUUGAUGGUGGUGGUAGAGGUCAGGUGAUAGUGGGUUGAUGGUGGUGGUAGAGGUCAGGUGAUAGUGGGUUGAUGGUGGUGGUAGAGGUCAGGUGAUAGUGGGUUGAUGGUGGUGGUAGAGGUCAGGUGAUAGUGGGAUGAUGGUGGUGGUAGAUGUCAGGUGAUAGUGGGUUGAUGGUGGUGGUAGAGGUCAGGUUAUAGUGGGAUGAUGGUGGUGGUAGAGGUCAGGUGAUAGUGGUAUGAUGGCGGUGGUAGAGGUCAGGUGAUAGUGGGUUGAUGGUGGUGGUAGAGGUCAGGUGAUAGUGGGUUGAUGGUGGUGGUAGAGGUCAGGUGAUAAUGGGUUGAUGGUGGUGGUAGAGGUCAGGUUAUAGUGGGAUGAUGGUGGUGGUAGAGGUCAGGUGAUAGUGGGAUGAUGGUGGUGGUAGAGGUCAGGUGAUAAUGG
ensembl:lncRNA